AUACGGAGGGGACAAGCGUUAUUCGGAAUCACUGGGCGUAAAGCGCGCGCAGGCGGUCUUUUAAGUUGGAUGUGAAAGCCUACGGCUCAACCGUAGAACUGCAUCCAAAACUAUUAGACUAGAGUGUGGGAGAGGAAGAUGGAAUUAGUUGUGUAGGGGUAAAAUCCGUAGAGAUAACUAGGAAUACCAAAAGCGAAGGCAAUCUUCUGGAACACUACUGACGCUGUGGCGCGAAAGCGUGGGGAGCAAACAGGAUUAGAAACCCUUGUAGUCC
rnacentral:rRNA from 1 species